UUGAGAUCCUACUACACAGUCAGAAAAUAAUCCCACCCACGUCCUCUGCCCCAAGGUAGCUAGAACAAGAUGAAGGAGAAAGACAAAAGGACUCCAUCAAAUUCAUUUCUGCACUCCAGAUGCUGGGCACACGGUGGGCACACACACCUGAAAUUGCCGUAUUUCAAGGGGCUACCUUAUUGGACCAUUGCCAGCAUCAUGGAAAGUUCCACGGGACAGCACGACACCAGAAGAUCGUGGAGUCAACCUAGGGCAUGGAGUCAUGGUUAAGAAGGACGAGGAGGGCUUCCCUGGUGGCGCAGUGGUUGAGAGUCCGCCUGCUGAUGCAGGGGACGCAGGUUCAUGCCCCGGUCCGGGAAGAUCCCACAUGUCGCGGAGCGGCUGGGCCUGUGAUCCGUGGCCGCUGAGCCUGCGCGUCCGGAGCCUGUGCUCCGCAA